UCCUGGUUAACCCAGGCAGUCUCGUUAGAGUUCCCAUCUUUACAUGUUGGCAACUAACGAUAAGGGUUGCGCUCGUUGCGGGACUUAACCCAACACCUCACGGCACGAGCUGACGACAGCCAUGCAGCACCUGUGCAAUGGUCCCGAAGGAAAGGUCCAUCUCUGGACCGGUCCAUUGCAUGUCAAGCCUGGGUAAGGUUCUUCGCGUUGCAUCGAAUUAAACCACAUGCUCCACUGCUUGUGCGGGUCCCCGUCAAUUCUUUUGAGUUUCAGCCUUGCGACUGUACUCCUCAGGCGGUAUACUUAACGCGUUAGCUCCGGCACAGCUAGGGUUGAGUCCAGCUACACCAAGUAUACAUCGUUUACGGCAAGGACUAC
rnacentral:misc_RNA from 1 species